rnacentral:tRNA from 1 species
GGAGAGGUGGCCGAGUGGCUGAAGGCGCACGCUUGGAAAGCGUGUUUACGUUUACGCGUAACGUGGGUUCGAAUCCCACUCUCUCCGCAA